CAGUAGCCGCGGGAAUACGAAGGGGGCUAGCGUUGUUCGGAUUUACUGGGCGUAAAGGGUGCGUAGGCGGAUUGUUAAGUCAGGGGUGAAAUGCCGGGGCUCAACCUCGGAACUGCCUUUGAUACUGGCGAUCUUGAGUCCGGGAGAGGUGAGUGGAACUGCGAGUGUAGAGGUGAAAUGCGUAGAUAUCGAUCGGAACACCCAUGGCGAAGGCAGCUCGCUGGCCUAACACUGACGCUGAGGCGCGAAAGCGUGGGGAGCAAACAGGAUUAGAUACCCCAGUAGUCCCUGUCUCUUAUAC
rnacentral:rRNA from 1 species